rnacentral:rRNA from 1 species
AGAGGAAGUAAAAGUCGUAACAAGGUCUCCGUUGGUGAACCAGCGGAGGGAUCAUUACAGAGUUUUCUAACUCACCAAAAACCAUGUGAACUUACCUAUGUUGCCUCGGCGGGGAACCUACCCGGGAGCUACUCUACAGUAGCCUACCCGGUACCUACCCGGUAGCUACCAUGUAGUUGUAGGCUUACCCGCCGGCGGACCAUUCAAACUCUGAUAUUUAUUUUGGCACUUCUGAGUUAUUAUACUUAAUAAGUUAAAACUUUCAACAACGGAUCUCUUGGUUCUGGCAUCGAUGAAGAACGCAGCGAAAUGCGAUAAGUAAUGUGAAUUGCAGAAUUCAGUGAAUCAUCGAAUCUUUGAACGCACAUUGCGCCCAUUAGUAUUCUAGUGGGCAUGCCUGUUCGAGCGUCAUUUCAACCCUCAAGCCCUGGUUGCUUGGUGUUGGGAGAUUAUCUUGCCGAAAGGUGGACAACUCCUUAAAACUAUUGGCGGAGUCGCGGUGACCCCAAGCGUAGUAAAUCUUGUUUUCUCUCGCUUUAGGGUGUCAACGCUGGCCUUCUAGCCGUUAAAGCCUCUAAUUUAUUAGUGGUUGACCUCGAAUCAGGUAGGACUACCCGCUGAACUUAAGCAUAUCAAUAAGCGGAGGA